rnacentral:snoRNA from 1 species
CGCCUCUUGGUGCUCACCGUGGAUUGCCUUCUUCCGGUGACUGUAGAAAAGGGAGAGAGAAACAUACUCCACAUGUACUUCAGCGCUGAGCCUGGUCUGUAUAGUGAUUAGGAAGACCUGG